rnacentral:rRNA from 1 species
CCAGACUCCUACGGGAGGCAGCAGUGGGGGAUAUUGCACAAUGGGGGGAACCCUGAUGCAGCGACGCCGCGUGGGUGAAGGAGCGUUUCGGCGCGUAAAGCCCUAUCGGCAGGGAAGAAGGAGGACGGUACCUGACUAAGAAGCCCCGGCUAACUACGUGCCAGCAGCCGCGGUAAUACGUAGGGGGCAAGCGUUAUCCGGAUUUACUGGGUGUAAAGGGAGCGUAGGCGGUGCAGCAAGUCAGAAGUGAAAGCCCGGGGCUCAACUCCGGGACUGCUUUUGAAACUGUUGAACUAGAUUGCAGGAGAGGUAAGUGGAAUUCCUAGUGUAGCGGUGAAAUGCGUAGAUAUUAGGAGGAACACCAGUGGCGAAGGCGGCUUGCUGGACAGAGACUGACGUUGAGGCUCGAAAGCGUGGGGAGCAAACAGGAUUAGAUACCCGUGUAC